GGACGGAUGGCCGAGUGGUUUAAGGCAGCGGUCUUGAAAACCGCCGUGGGAGUUACCCUUCCACCGUGGGUUCGAAUCCCACUCCGUCCG
rnacentral:tRNA from 1 species